GAGAGCCGAAGAUUGAAGCUUGAAGAAGUCCAGCGUUUCAGAUCAGAUGAGGAGCACUGGCUGGUAAAUGAAGAAGGAGAAGGAGCAACUGAAGAGGCAGUAGACAAUCCAAACGGAUCUAGUAUCAUGGAAACCAAGUCAGUGGAGGAUCUACUGGAGUGGCAUGGUCAGCUUUGUUGUGCUUUGAUAAGAGGGUCAACUCAGAUUCUCCAAGAAGCAGGCACCAAGACAGAAUUAGAUGUGAAAGAAAUACACUCAGAGAAAUGCUCUUGAAGGAUAAAGACGCCAAGGAGCAAGAGGAACUGUAAAAACCUCCAGAUCAUGUUGCUGUUUUCAAUAGUUCUUUAUAUAGAACUAAAUGAAAUUGUCUGAGUUUUGACAAUUAUAAUAUUUUAUUUCUGAUUAAUCAGAAAAUAGUUUGCCAUAAAAAUUUAUCACUUCUGAUAUUAGCACAUAAAUUUGUUUUUAUUGUAAUUUCAAAACUAAUGUCAAGACUGAGCAAAUCAUAAGAUGGAAGCACCUGUGAGUGCCUGGGACCCUCAAGAUCAUCAAAUCCAGCUUUCCCUGCAGAGAUGGUCUUUCAACUUUUGCCUGAACAUCAUCCUUGUGAGGGAAAUCGUUUCAUCACAAAGCAAUCCAGUUUACUACUGGAACACUGCAAUUAUUUGAAGCAAAACAUCUGGAUCUACUGGAUAACACUGCUCACCAACACUGGUCAUCUUUGUCUUUACCCAAGGCAAGUAUGCCACCUUAUAAAGGACUUUGCACUGGACAUGAUGGUUUACACCCUACUCGAGAGGCUGAAGUGGGAAGAUCAUUUGAGCCCAGGGGUUCAAGACUGCAGUAAGCUAUACUCAUUCCACUGCACUCCAGCCGGGGUGACAGAGUGAGAUCCCCAAUAAUAAUAACAAAUAAAUAAUAAAGGAGUUUGCUUCUGUUGA